GUGCUCGCUUUGACAGCACAUAUACUAAAAUUGGAACUAUACAGAGAAUAUUAGCAUGGCUCCUGCACAAGUAUGACACACAAAUUCAUGAAGCGUUCCAUAUUUUU
rnacentral:snRNA from 1 species